UUAGCCAUAGAAUAAUUAAUACUAAUGAUGAAAUCUCAAGAUGAAGGUGUCUCGGCAGCGGAGAUCCUUGAUAUUCAGCUGGAAAAGUCUGUUGUGACCACAAUACAGGUUCUGUUUGGGGCUUCUUGACUCAGCCUUCCAUCCUUCCAAGAAAGUCAAGGCCAUCUUGCCCUGCACCUGCGAGGCUGGAACUGGGAAGCCUGUCCAGUUGGGAUCAUGCUGUAAUUGGACCAUGUGAUGGAUUCGUGAGUGCUGGCCAGGGACUUGAACUUUCCUUUGGGUGGGGAAACCCUGGAAGCUUUCAGAUUCAGGUUUUCCCAGAUGUGUGGCAUCUCUAAUAAAUUGUAACUUUGAGGAAAUCC